rnacentral:lncRNA from 1 species
CUUGACUGAGCCAGCCAGGCACCCCAAGAUGUUCUGAAUUUUUAACAAAAGUCAAAAUAGUACAGGUUAAGGAUGCUCUUUCACAUCUUAUGUGUAUGUGUUCUGGGAAUGUUAAUGUACUCAAAAUACACGCCUAAAACAUAAACCUUUUCCCAUCGUUCUUUUCCAAUUCUCUUUGAGUUAUUCAACAAGAUAGGUAAAAGUAAUUUUUUCAAAUCAUGUCAACUCUGUCAGCCACACCAAUUCUCACCUUAUUUCACAUUAUACAGUAUUUAUUCCUUUCUGUCCUUUACCAAAAUAAACUUUGAAACCAAUGAUGAAAAGUUUUAGAUUUCAAGUUAAAAAUGUGUGAGGAAGUAUGUAGGUUUUUUCUAAUUAUUUUGGGAGUAUAUUUUUGAAGACCACUGCUCAUAAUAACUCUAUGGGGUAGAUAGUAAUAGCUUAUCCCCAUUUUACGCAUGUGGCACAAAUGAGGCCCAGAGAGGUUAAGCAACUUGCCCUAAAAUACACAGCUAUUAAAGGUCAGAGUUAAGAUUCUACUGAGAAUUCUGGCCCCAGAACCGGAGCUGUUAACUACCACACUAUAUUGCCUUUAGAAUUUCAAUUAGUAUUUACUUAGGCCUGCCAUGGAAUCAGAACAAUGUAUCUUUUUUUUCUUUUUUUAAAGAUUUACUUAUUUAUUCAUUCAUGAUAGAGAGAGAGAGAGAGGGAGAGAGAGAGAGAGAGAGAGGCAGAGACACAGGCAGAGGGAGAAGCAGGCUCCAUGCAGGGAGCCCGACGCGGGACUCGAUCCCAGGACUCCAGGAUCGCGCCCUGGGCCAAAAGCAGGCGCUAAACCGCUGAGCCUCCCAGGGAUCCCCAGAACAAUGUAUCUCUUAUUCAUGAAAAGAGAUACCAAACAAAGUCUUUUGUUUUAAGGAAAUGUUGGAAAAUGUCUACAAAAACUUUAGCUUGUGCCUAAUGAUACUGGUAGAUAAUUGUCAGGUUUCCAGUAUUAUUUUUAUUUUCUUCCAGAGAUGGCAGAAACAAGAAUUUGGGAUGUUCACGUGGAUUCAAAUACAAGGAUCAUCUGGAAAAAUGAGGAGCCACGCCACCUGCUGGGUGAGGAUGGAGAGAGCUGAACUUUAUUUCUUGGACUGAUAAUCUACGAAUUCACAGAAAGGAGAAAUGUCUUCACUCUUUCCAGUACACAGAACAGUGAAAAAUAGUGCACUCUGUGCUGGCAAGUUCACAAAGAAAGGGACAACUCUGCUCAUCUCUGGUGUUAUCCUAGCCAUCCAUAGUCAGUCAUAAAUGUUUCUUUUGAAAUGUUUAAAUGGGAAAUAAAAGCAUUAAAAUAAAGAACA